ensembl:snRNA U6 spliceosomal RNA
GUGCUCACUUCAGUAGUACAUAUACUCAAAUUGGAAUGAUACAGAAAAGAUUAGAAUGGCCCCUGUGCAAGGAUGACAUGCAAAUUUAUGAAGUGUCCCAUAUUUUU